GCCAGGUGUGGUGGCUCACACCUGUAAUCCCAGCACUUUGGGAGGCUGAGGCAGGUGGAUCACCUGAGGUCAGGGGUUCAAGACAAGCCUGACCAACAUGGUGAAACCCCGUCUCUG
ensembl:misc_RNA Metazoa_SRP Metazoan signal recognition particle RNA